rnacentral:rRNA from 1 species
UGGGGAAUAUUGGACAAUGGACCGAGAGUCUGAUCCAGCAAUUCUGUGUGCACGAUGAAGUUUUUCGGAAUGUAAAGUGCUUUCAGUUGGGAAGAAAUAAAUGACGGUACCAACAGAAGAAGUGACGGCUAAAUACGUGCCAGCAGCCGCGGUAAUACGUAUGUCACGAGCGUUAUCCGGAUUUAUUGGGCGUAAAGCGCGUCUAGGUGGUUAUGUAAGUCUGAUGUGAAAAUGCAGGGCUCAACUCUGUACUGCGUUGGAAACUGUGUAACUAGAGUACUGGAGAGGUAAGCGGAACUACAAGUGUAGAGGUGAAAUUCGUAGAUAUUUGUAGGAAUGCCGAUGGGGAAGCCAGCUUACUGGACAGAUACUGACGCUAAAGCGCGAAAGCGUGGGUAGCAAACAGGAUUAGAUACCCUGGUAGUCCACGCUGUAAACGAUGAUUACUAGGUGUUGGGAGUCGAACCUCAGCGCCCAAGCAAACGCGAUAAGUAAUCCGCCUGGGGAGUACGUACGCAAGUAUG